UACCAGCUCUCCGAGUGGUGUGGAUGUUUAUUGGGCCUAAAGCAUCCGUAGCUGGCUGGACAAGUCCCCUGUUAAAUCCACCGAUUUAAUCGUUGGUGUGCGGGGGAUACUGUUCGGCUAGGGGACGGGAGAGGCAGACGGUAUUUUCGGGGUAGGGGUGAAAUCCUAUAAUCCCGGGAAGACCACCAGUGGCGAAGGCUGUCUGCUAGAACGCGCCCGACGGUGAGGGAUGAAAGCUGGGGGAGCGAACCGGAUUAGAUACCCGGGUAGUCCCAGCUGUAAACGAUGCAGGCUAGGUGUUUGGACGGCCACGUGCCGUUCUAGUGCCGCAGGGAAGCCGUUAAGCCUGCCGCCUGGGGAGUACGGCCGCAAGGCUGAAACUUAAAGGAAUUGGCGGGGGAGCACCACAGGGGGUGAAGCUUGCGGUUU
rnacentral:rRNA from 1 species